AUCCAAUGCAAUCUGCCGGGCGGCAGGCACGGCUCGAAAAAUCACUCGAAAUCCGGGGGGAUUUUCCCUGCGCGCAAACCGAGCAGGACUGGUUGCCAGCGGGUGAUCACAACCGGCACCCACACACCCCGCAUACAGUGACCAUGAAGUACAUUAACAACAGUCGUUCUUCAUGAUUGGUUCAGUGCUGGCGUGGCGACCUGCAUGCUGAGAUCUCUGUGUGGGACAUCCCCUGUUUGCACUCUAUAAGGCAUCUCUGGGAUGAUGCCCCGGGAAGGACUUGCAUACUUUGCUGCCCUGGAUGCCGCACUUGGAGGUUCGGCUAGUUCGGUUUCAUAAGUAGGCCUC
rnacentral:lncRNA from 1 species